AAGCAACUGUGUACAUGAUUAUAUUUUUGAUAGGCUUGUAGGAAGGCAGUCGUGGUGUGUUCCCCAUGAAAAAGGAAAAGCACAAAGAUUGUCUUCCCAGGAAUAAGUCUAAAGAUCCACACGGAGGUAAUGGAACUUCCUGAAGACACGAACAUCUAUUUUCCUUGGUGCGGGUACAUUUGAGAUCCCUGUUUUGCCCUUACUCAGCUGAUGGACAAUCUAGUCUUCUCCUGAAUCAUACAAAGCCAACACCAAGAAGCCAUUUUAUCAACGUCUGCCUAGACUCUACAGAUACCCCUCAGUCUGCUAUGAUCUCUUCUUUAGAAUUAAAGCAGAAAAAAAGAAGAAGAAGUUGUUGUUGAGGCUUGGAACAAUGAAGAAAGCCUAUGGGAGGCUAUUGGUGAAAGUGCAGCAGAACUGCAGCAGAAAAUCCCAAAAUAUUGGAGAUGCCAUUACCAGGGGAUGACCACCAAGAACAGCAGCAGAAGUAGAGUGCAGUCAGCCAGUACCUAGAGUGCUACAGAGGACAGAGCUGCAGACCUGACCCAAUCCCUUUGAAGGAGCUCAGACACUGGAACAAGAAUCUGUGGAACUGAAGUUGCCUUGGAGACCCCAAGAUACUAGAGAUGCCAGAGCCAUGGAAUGCCUGCCAAGAAAAACUGCUAACAGGGAGUGGAACCAGCCCAAGAGGAAGAAUUGUGCUGCAGACAAACAAGCUAAAAGGAGCUGGACACCAGACAUGGAGAUGCAGAAUUUGGAGUUUCCCAACUGGUUUUUGGUCUUGCAUUGGUGCAGUUUUUCUCACUAAGAUGUUUUUGCAAUGGUAAUGUAUAUCCUGUGGUGUUGGAAGUAUGUGGGCUGCUUUUUUAUUUUAAUUUCAUAAGGGGUUAUGGUUAAGAGAUUACAUGAUUCACAGAAGAAACUUUGAACAUUGGACUUUUAAACAUUGUUGAGACUGUGAUAGACUAUGAAGAUUUUUGGAGUUGGAUUAAAUGCAUUUCGCAUUAUUUUAUGGCUAUAAGCCUAUGGAGCCAGGGAGUAGUAUGUGGCAGUUUGAACAGGUUUAACCCUGAAAGAUUCAUGUGUCUGAAUGCUUGACCACAGUUUUGGCCUUGUUAGAGGAAGUGUUUCACUAUAGGAGUGGACACUGUAGUCUUCUAUGCUCAGCAUCUACCCAGUAAGAAUUACCUUUGAAUCACAAUGUAGAAAUUUCAGCUUCCUCACCAUGCUUGCCUAAAUACUAUCUUGCUUCCCACAAUGAUGAUAAUGGUCUAAACCUCUAAAACUUUAAGCCAGCCUCCAGUUAAAUAUCGGCCUUUAUAAGUGUUGCCUUGGUUAUGGUGUCUCCUUAACAGUGAAACCUUAACAAAGACAUAGUAUCUUUAUACAUAAAAACAGUCACAUUAGUUCUUAGAAUCAGAGUCCAAGGAACACAGAUUCCAGUAAUGGCAGAAUAUAUUGAAAAAGAAGAGAGAGAGAGAGAGAGAGAGAGAGAGUGUCAAGGAACACAGCAGAAGAUGGCAGAGAUAUAAGAAUGUUAGAACAAGGAAAUAAAAAGGUGGGCUCCACCAUGUCAUCUGGGCAAGGCAUAGAUAUCAUGAACUUACAAAAUAAUAACUCCAUAGACAGGCAAGAAUGGAGGAGGUAACUGGGGAGUGGAACCCCUCCUUGCUGACCUACUUUUGCUAUUGGUAGACUCAAUGAAUGAGGAAGUCAUUGUUUUCUGUUGUAUAUCUGCUAAUGACCCUACUAGCCUCCAAAGGAUACUUCCAAUCCACUAAUCACACUAAUGGCCCUAGUAAAACAAAAUGGCUGACAAACUAAAGCCAGAAUUCAUAAAUUAGAGAAAGACAAAAGGAAGGCCUGAGAGGAAAUGGGAGGGAGAUAAGAUAUCAUAAGGGGGAAAUAGCAACUGAAACACACACACACACACACACACACACACACACACACACACACACUUGUCAAACUACAAAAUUAAUCAAUAUUAAAAAGGUACUUAAAGGGAUCCUAAUUUUACUGGAAGGUUAGUAUGCUUCCAAAGUUUGUUGGUCUCUCUCAGUCUUGACCAUUCACUGUUCUAGGAAAGAGUUUAGUUCUAAUAGUCUUAAGAAUGGUCCUUUUCUGAGAGUCACUUUCUGUUGACAUCCUGACAAGUUCAUAGAAUGUUUGACAUGUAUAGGACACAGUCUCAAUCAUAAAAGAAGCCAGUGUUGUCAACUUUUUUACUAAAGUAUAUGCCUUAGGGGAAAGGUAGAAGAAUGUGUAGGUUUUCAAAGCUUCCAUUUUGUUUUGCAGUCCUAUAGAUUAGUCCUAGGAUCUAGCAUAUGUUAGACAAUUAUUCUACCACCGAGACACAGCUCUAGCUCACAGAUUCAGAAAUAAAGGCUACUGGGAACUUUCUAGAAAGAUUACUAAGACCAAUAAUUAAACAAAUUCUAAACUCUGGACCCUUAAUUACUUCCCCAUUGUUGGAAUUCUCAUCAUUCCCAUCAUUUUAAAAAGUUUUAAUUCAAUAAAGAUUCCAAGAGCUUUCUUUAUAUUUAGCAAAUCAUUAGCAGACAAACACAAGGAACAAAGUAUACCAAUUUGCAAAGCAAACUUGUUCAUGAUGUCUAUCUUAAAGAGGAUGAGAAAAGCAGGCUAAUGAUAACAGGACUGGCAUGACUAAGAAGGGGGCCUCUGAAAUCUUCAGUGGAUGAAACUAGGGACUCUUAGGUAACCAAAAUAUUGGUUUCCCAGACUGCUUCCUGGAGCAAUCAUGCUCAGAGGAGACACAAUAUGGAAUCAUUAUGACAGUGCUCCAGUGACGUCCCCACUAAACUGCAGGCUGAAGACAUGGAUAUUAGCCACUAAAUCUCUACCUAGGUAUCCUCAUGCUUUAUUUCCAAAGCUACCUUACCUGAUGCCUUUCAUCAUCAUCUCUGGACCAAUAUUAUAACCAAAUCAGAACCUUCUAGGUUGUGUGGUGAGAAACUAAUCAGAUCUACUUGUGUCCUGAAGGAAGUAAGCGAGUGGCCGUUACCUCCUUUUUAAAGAAGCAGCCGUGGGAUCCAGCUCCAUGUUGGGGAUAAAUCAAGCUUUCUCUCUGAGUCUAGUGCACAGGGGCAUAAAAUCCAACUCUGCACCACACAUUCCUGGAGGGGAUUUUUUUUCUCCCUGUGUUAUACCUGCAAAACUCCAGCCUUUUUUUUUCCUCUGGCAAGCCUGGAUACAUGAUUAAUAUUUUAAACCUCCCAGGUUCUGCUUUCCCUACAUUCAAAAGUGCCUGGAUGUUGGACUUUUAAAAAUUCUAUUUAUCUUCUCAUCCAGAUUGCUGAGGAGGAAUUGCAAGUAGAAAACACAGCCACAGGGGCCUUGACAAAUCCUAGCAAAUCUUUAAAUUGCUUCUGCAGUCAUCAGGGUUUUCUCUCAUUAGCAUCUCUGAUGUGUCUUGUCUCCUGCUGACCUUCGUUUGGGAAUGGAAGAAAGAAGAGUUUUAGGAGGGCAUUGUACCUUUUCCUCUCAGAAGGCGAACUCGAUAUGAAUGGCCAGUGCUCUCAUAUCAGUAUAGACAGGACUGGUUUCUUCUCUCCCAUUAUGCAAGAUCAUGUCCCUGGAGAUAACUCUCUCUCCCCCUCCCCCUGCCCUCCCUCUCCUCCUCCUCCUCUCUCUCCUCUCUCUCUCUCUCUCUCUCUCUCUCCCCCGCCCCCCAUAAGUAGCUCUCUCCAUCUGACUAGAAAGUAUUGAAAAGCUUCCCCCACAAAGCUUCUUGCAUUCACCUCACGGAUCACUGCAGGCUCCUGGUUAUCUCCCCAUUCACAGUCUCCUUACAAUCUGUCUCCUUUUCGUGAGAAGCAGAGGCAAGUUGGAUAGGGAGACGAGUAGGGUUGGCUAAGUGUACUUCAGAAUCUGGAAUCUGACUGCUUAUGCUCCAAUUUGUCUCUAACACUAAUUCCUAACCAAUUCCAGUUUCAAAGGAAAGGUCGAGCCCUCUAAUCUCUCUAAGCUUCAAUUUACUUACUAUGAGAUUGGCGAUGAUAAUAACAGCUACUGAAUAAUGAAGAGUGAAUAAGCAAUGCAUGAAAGUGCGUUGGAAAACAUGGAUGAUGUAUUACACACCUCUCUUCUGUGCCUCCAUCACAAGGAGAAUGAGGACUGGGAACCCCUGGGACAGGAAAUUGCUUGCUAAGUUCCCUUAGAUCUCUAAAGUCCUCAGCAUUGAUAUCUACAAUGUUAAUAGAUCACUACUGACAGGUCAUCUCUGUGCUGUAUAUUAGAGGCACAGAGGAAGAAGAGCUAGGCUGGUUUCUGCCUUCAUGCUUCGCAGUCAGACAAAGCCACAGAGAGAGUCAUAAGAGAAGCUAAGGUCAUGACCUCCACUUGGCCAGGAAAAUGAUCAGGAAAUGGAAAAGCUCCUUUACUCAGUGAAGCUCACUUGCUGUCUCCGAAAUGAGAAUAUUUCCAGCCAAUAGACUCCUCUUUAUCGUAGCCUCUGUUUCUGCCCCUGCCAGCCUCUGAUUGAAUACUUGUCCUAACUAGACUGAGCCAGAGGGUGCUAUAUGCUGAUAAGGGGUUAUGAUGCAUUGGAAUGGUGAAAGCACCUACCUACAGAGAGUGAUAUUAUAGAACAGAGCAAUAAUGGAGGGAGAGCCCAGGACCCAGACAUAGCACAGCAUUCCCUGGUUCUAUGAAUUUGCACAAUGUACCAACUUAUGUGAGCCAAGGUCAUUACUUUGCCAUGACAGGGAUAAUUCUUUCCUCCUGUCAAGGAGUUGUGAGGAGUGAGACAGUAUAUGUGAGAUGUUUUAUGUUUUAGAUUGUGAAACUGAAGAAAAUAAAACAAAAGAAAAUCCCCAACGAAUUAAGGAACCCAUGCCAAGUAAAAUAAAGGAAAGAGAUCUAUAGAUAAUCUCUCAAAAAAAGUAGUAAAAUAUCUACCAUGGGCUGAUAGACUAUAAAUAUUCAAGGUAGAAGAACAGGGUAUUACAGAAUCACAUUUCACUUCAUUAUUGAUUUUUAACAUAACAAACGAUGGUAGGUUAGUGAAUGCUCACCACAGACAUAAAGAAACCAGUUAGAAAGCAAGACAGGUACAACAACAAAAAAAUAACCUGGGGUAUGUAUUGUGAUAAGCAAAAUAUGCUCUAGAAGAAGUCCAAAAUAUGGACUCUAGAAGUCCAAAAUAUGGACUCUAGAAGAAGAUAUUUAAGGAAGGAAGAGAGCACUUUAGGAAUAGUUAAUGGAUUUCCCACUGGCUGGAUGAGGCCACUGUUUUAAAUGGAGCAGGGAACAGUCAUGGCCAUUUGAGUUGUACUAUCUCUAUGAAAGUCAAGUAAAGGUGUCAGCAGAUGGCUGGCUAUAUAAUGUGAAGCUUAGAAAUAGCUGAUGGGCAGGUUAGCACAAAGGAAAUGACUGAGACAAAUAGCCUCCUCGUAACUGGUUAGUUAAGAAAAACAAAACAAAAAAAUAGUGAAAUGGGCUGAAGACAGAACCCUGAAACAUGCCAGCAUUUUUAUUACAUGCUCCUAAACAACCAAUGUCAAAAGCGUAUGACUCGUGCAUUAUAUCAAUGGGAGGUUUUAAGUAAACUGAGGCCUGAGUCAAAUGGAGUGAUGUCCAGUCCUGUUUCUAUCACUUUCUACCUGGGAAUGUUAGGUCAAUUCUAUAAGCCUCACUUUCGAUACACACACACACACACACACACACACACACACACACACAAAGAAUGCAGUGGGAAAAACUGUCAUAAAGAUGAAAUGAAAUGAUGUGGGUAAAUUACUUAGCUCUGAGUCUAACGUAUACACCGUUAAAUUUUUAAUAAAUGUCAGAGGUCUAGAGAAAGUUGGUCAAUGGGGAGAGACUUGGUCAGUUGCAUUUUAAGAUUUCUUCCAUCUUUUGAAUAAGAACUGAUCCUCAGGCCACCCAGUGAGAAAAAGACCACUGUAAGUCCUUUGUAUAAGAUCAAUUAAUGUGGAUGUUUCAGCAUCCCUGCUUCUUCUCAGCCACCCUCCUCCCCACUGUAGGCAUCAUGCUCCAUGCCCAUUGCCAGAACUUGUGCUGUUCUGGAUCUCUGAAGAUGCUGGUCUUGAAAAUUCUUGACAGUACCACUGGUGACUCCAGACAGUAAUGUCUUGAUGGGUACAUGCAAGGAUAUGCUGCCAAAACUCCCACUGACUCCCAAGUAAUCAGCCUGCCAGCCCCCUUCUGUCCACACUAUUCUAUCACUUUGAAUUCAGUGAAUGGCCCUAUUAUUAUUGCCUAUGACUAUUACCUCUAGUAUUUGGGAAUAUAUUCAUUCAUUCAUUCCAAAACUAUUAAAUAUUAUAUUUCCAUUUUGACCCAGACAUUCUAGACAUUUGUGAGAUUGCAGUGAAUAAUGAAAUAUAAAAAGAUAAUUUUAAAUAGUGUUAAUAAGUAUGUCUACUCCUCAUUCAUACAACCCUAAAUAAGGUAGUUUUUUGAAAUGGAGUUGGGGUGUGUCCUGGCUAAGGUUUCCAUUACUGCAAUAAAACACCAUAAUCAGAAGCAAGUUGGAGAGGAAAGUGUUUCUUCUCUUACACUUCUACAUCACAGUGUAUCACUGAAGGAGGUCAAGGCAGGAACUCAAACAGGGAAGGAACCUGGGUACAGGAGCUGAUGCAGAAGCCUUGGAGGCUUGCUCCUCAUGACUUGCUCAGUCUACUUUAUUACACAACCUAGGAUCACCUGCCCAGGGGUGGCACCACCCACACUGGACUAGGCCCUCCCACAUGAAUGACUAAUUAAUAAAAUGUCAUCCAGGUUUUACUAUAGCUUAAUCUUAUGGAAACAUUUUCACAGGGGCUCCCUCCUCUCUGAUGACCCUAACUUGUGUAAAGUUGACAAAAACCUAGCCAGCACAGGGUGCAAAUUGAUUCCAUCCUUGUGGAGAGAAUUUAAUUCCUUUCCUUUUAAAAGAUCCAAGAUAGUUGCUUUUCUUUUCUACCAGAGUGAGGCUAGAGGAAGAAAGUCAUUUAUGAACCAGAAAACAGACCCUCUUUAAACAUCAAAUUUGACAGUAUCUUUAUUUGGGACUUUCCAGUCCCUAGAGCUGCAUACAAUCAAUUUGUGCUGUUUAUAAGCCAUUAGGAUUAUAACACUUAGUUUUAGCAGUGCAAAUAAAUUAAGACAAACAGUGAUAAAACGUGAUGAAGAAAUGAGCACAGAAGUGUGACUGGAUUUGACAUGGAUCUUUGAUCCAGUGACAUUUUGCAAAAAUCUGGUCUCUGAAAUUACUAGUGAAUGUGCGGAGAGGUAUGGAUGAAGAUUAGAUAUUGUUAUUUGAACAAUUACUGAAGCAAGGCAUAUUGUGCCUAUGGUUUUAUGCAUUGUAAAUUUACAGCUCUUUUCCCUCUUGAAUUAUACAAACCCAGCAAAGAGAAAGCUUUACAUUGCACUUGCAUGGAGCCUUAGAGAAAAGAGUCUUGAAUUAGCAGAUAGGUUCUUCUUUUUCUGCCAUUCCUGGUGUGUCCACAUUUUAAGGCGUUUGAUGAGUGAGAAUAUAAGUUUCAAAAAUGUCACCACUUACAGAAUGAGCUAGAGGGACUUCUCCUCAAGAAACUAAAAUGUACAGGACCACAGACAAGUCAGGAACAGAAUAACAACUUGAAAUCUGUGUGGGGACUGACAAGGUACAAAGAGCUUGUGUAGACUUUAUUAUACUAAAAGUCACGAGCGCCCAGACCCCGUGAGAGAGAGACCCAACCGCCUGGUCAGGUGGGCACUCCUGAGGCUGCAGAGCGGAAGAGACCACCAACACUGCCCACCCCUGCCCACAUCCCUGGCCCAAGAGGAAUCUGUAUAAGGCCUCUGGGCUCCCGUGGGGGAGGGCCCAGGAGCGGCAGGACCCCUGCCUGAGACACCGCUGGAACCUGAAGGAAACAGACCGGAUAAACAGUUCUCUGCACCCAAAUCCCGUGGGAGGGAGAGCUAAACCUUCAGAGAGGCAGACAAGCCUGGGAAACCAGAAGAAACUGCUCUCUGCACACACAUCUCGGACACCAGAGGAAAACACCAAAGGCCAUCUGGAACCCUGAUGCACUGAAGCUCCCGGAAGGGGCAGCACAGAUCUUCCUGGUUGCUGCCGCCACAGAGAGCCCGAGAGCAGCACCCCACGAGCAAACUUGAGCCUCAGGACCACAGGUAAGACCAACAUUUCUGCUGCAAGAAAGCUGCCUGGUGAACUCAAGACACAGGCCCACAGGAACAGCUGAAGACCUGUAGAGAGGAAAAAACUACACGCCCGAAAGCAGAACACUCUGUCCCCAUAACUGACUGAAAGAGAGGAAAACAGGUCUACAGCACUCCUGACACACAGGCUUAUAGGACAGUCUAGCCACUGUCAGAAAUAGCAGAACAAAGUAACACUAGAGAUAAUCUGAUGGCGAGAGGCAAGCGCAGGAACU